rnacentral:lncRNA from 1 species
AUGGCACCGUGUCCCCAUAUUGAUGUUUUGAUGGGUGGGGUCACGGUUUCAUGCUUGUUAGAUAGUGGUUCCAUGGUGUCUACGAUCCUUGAAAGUUUCUUUGUAGAACAUUUUGCAUCAUGGGGCCAAGAGCGCUUUCGGUCUUGUAAUUGGCUGCAAUUGCGGGCAGCUAAUGGUCUUUGUAUCCCGUACAUCGGUUACUUGGAGCUGGAUGUGACCUUGUGUGGAAAAGUGGUCCCUGGUUGUGGGAUUCUGGUGGUGAGAGACCCUCCUGAUGCUGCAUCUGCUUCCCCGGGGAUCUUGGGGAGCAACAUCAUUCGUCGAUGCUAUCGUGAACUCUUUGCCAUGCAUGGCCCCGCCCUCUUCAAAGCGCCGUCGGUGGUUCAAGCCCCAGGCCCAGUCCUUGAAGCCUUGCAACGGUGCCAUCAGGCCACCACAGAACAUCAGAGAAACAUCACUGGUUCCGCCUGGGUUUGUGGGAGACGGGCAAUACGAAUACCUGGUGGAGUACUGAAGCUUGUGGCAACUACCUGUGCAGAGCAGCGGGCUGGUCAGGCUGCGCUGUUUGAACCAACAGAGUCUGGCCUGCCAGCAGGGCUGCUGACUUUUCCUUGUGUGGUCCAGGUUACCCGUGGUACAGUUUACGUCCCAGUGGUCAAUGUGGGGACGACUGAUGUCCUUCUCUACCCACGUGUUGGUCUUGGCGCUUUAAGUAGUGCGCAGGUUGUCAGUCUACCAGCUGGCGUAACUGAGGUGAAGCUCACUACAGCCUCAGUUUCAUCCCAUGCAGCUGCUGGCACAACAACGGGUGGGGUACAAGCUGGGGACCUGUCCGCUCUAGCCGAGCAAGAGCAGAGUGAGGUGUAUGCUCUGCUGCAGAAAUACCAGGCAAUUUUCUCGAAUCGCGACGGUGACUUGGGUUGUACCAACCUUAUCUCUCACGAGAUUCCCUUGCUGGACGAGAUUCCGGUGAGACAGCGGUACCGACGGAUACCACCUUCGGAGUACGAGGAGGUGAAGGCUCACAUUGACCAGUUACUUGAAGCUAAGGUGAUCCGGGAAAGCAAUAGCCCUUUUGCUUCCCCCAUUGUCCUGGUCCGUAAAAAGGAUGGUAGUCUCCGGAUGUGUGUUGACUACCGCCUGCUUAAUCGCAAGACACGGAAGGACGCAUUUCCCUUACCUCGCAUCGAGGAAAGCCUUGACUCCCUUGCUGGAGCUCGCUGGUUCACCACCCUCGAUUUAGCGAGUGGGUACAACCAGGUCCCCGUCACAGAGCAGGACAAGUCGAAGAAAGCCUUUUGUACACCUUUCGGUCUCUUCGAGUUUAACCGUAUGCCAUUCGGCUUGUGCAACGCCCCAAGCACCUUUCAGAGAUUAAAGGACAAUUCCGGUAUUUUGAACAUUGAGCCCCCUUUCUGGUUUGUUUAUGAUGAAAUAGAGUGGGUGACACCGAAAUUUUAA